rnacentral:lncRNA from 1 species
CUCUGGUCUUCCACAAUGGUUGUAGUCUUGUCUUCAUGCUUCUUUGUAAGAUUGAACCGGUCUGGUUUGAUAUUACCGGCUUGUUUGUCUUUCUUGAAAAACCGACAUUUCGACUUCAUGUGACCCGGCUUGCCACAAUAAUAGCAUGUAACUCUUGGACGUGACUUAGAUCUUCCUCGAAAUUGGUCUCGUCCUCUGCUUCUGUUGUGACCACGAGUCUCUUCUCUACCCCA